rnacentral:lncRNA from 1 species
AAAUUUCUUGCUUUUUCAAAACCAAUGAUCACGGUGUUUUGGUUUAUGAGACUGCAUUUUUGUCAACCCUUCUUCAUGAUUUAGUCAAAUCUACCAUUGAGAAGUACAGCUAUGUUUGGAGAGUAUACAGUAAACUUGGAUAUGCUCACUAUAUUCAUGGGCGUGCAAAGUCUUGCUGCUUGAUUAUUCCCACCAUUUUUUUUAUGCAACAAUGCUUCCUUAGUUAUGCCUGGUAUAGUUAAUUAGUCUUCUUUCAAUGUUAUCUAACCAGAUAGUCAGCCAGUAGCCUAGCACCAUCACAUAUUUUACGCUCGUAUUGUAAUCAAAUAGCUAAAACUAGAUUUGUUUGCC